rnacentral:rRNA from 1 species
AGAGUUUGAUUAUCGCUCAGGAUGAACGCUGGCGGCGUGCCUAACACAUGCAAGUCGAACGGGGUUAACUUACGGAAGUUUUCGGAUGGAAGUGAGUCAACUUAGUGGCGGACGGGUGAGUAACGCGUGGGCAACCUGCCCCAUGCCGGGGGAUACCGCCUGGAAACAGGCGCUAAUACCGCAUAAGCGCAUACAGCCGCAUGGCAGUAUGCGGAAAGCUCCGGCGGCAUGGGAUGGGCCCGCGCCCGAUUAGCCAGUUGGCGGGGUAACGGCCCACCAAAGCUACGAUCGGUAGCCGGCCUGAGAGGGCGGACGGCCACAUUGGGACUGAGACACGGCCCAAACUCCUACGGGAGGCAGCAGUGGCCACCAUUGCACAAUGGGGGAAACCCUGAUGCAGCAACGCCGCGUGGGUGAAGGAGCGUUUCGGCGCGUAAAGCCCUGUCAGCGGGGAAGAA